CAUGUAUAAAUAUUUGUACACUUUAAAAAAUGACCCACGGGUUUAGUAAAUAUUGCAAAAGAAAAUCAAUGAUUUUUACUUAAAAUAAUAGGUUUCUGGUUUUACUUACAUUUUUUUAUGUAGUACUUAAUGUAUGUGUUGUAAAAUCCAAGGUAAUAUGCUGCUAAAUUUGAACGAAUAUUUCUAAGUAACAACCAUCAACUUAAAAAUAUGAUAUUCAAAAUAUCAUUAUUAUGUUGGACUAACCUGCUAGAUCAAGUUCUGAACUUAUAUUGUGCUUAUAUUGUGAACCAGCUCAAUGGACCUCCUCUUGAUCUUUCUCCUCUGGAAAGGCCAUGCAGCAGAGUAUAGGUAUUCAGACCUUCCUGGGUAAUGGACAGACCAUCUUUUCCAGAAUACAUUGGCAUGGGAUCCGGCGGUCCUUUCUUUGAAGGACUUCAAUGAAAGAUGGCCAACCCUGUUUGAACCCACUCGGGUACAAAAUACAGCCGAAGGAAAAUAGUCAAUAUUAAGGACGAGUUCAGAAGAAUUACAACUGUUUCUCUUGAGUCCACCUUUAUGCAGAAGCUGGACGAAUAUACACCAACAUGUUUUGACUUGUUUAAGUCAAAAGGAGGUGCUAUAAAGGCGGUUUGUAACAGUAUAGACUGAUGAUAAAUGAUAACAUUUAUUUUAUUAAAAUAAAGAUGUGGAAGUUUGAAGUUGAA
ensembl:lncRNA